CCGGCUGAGAAACCUUUACAUAGAUAGACUCUCUUAAGACUAUUUAGCACUUCUCACGGUAGAUCUAGCAACUAGAAUCAAAAUCUAAAAAAUGAAUUCAAAUUUGAUUCAGCAGAUUGCAAAAAGAUAUAUAUACUAGUGUUGAUUCACUUGAAUACUUGAAUAAAUGCUACUUAGGAUCAAGCAGCGUGUGUUCCUUGUGUUGGGAUGAAACAGUGUUCUGCCUGUUUUGUCUUUUCCUUCUGAUUUGAAGCUCUUGCUUCUACUGUGAUAUGUUUGAUCGUUUCCAGGUUACAGAGCUUUUCACGGAUGAAGAGUGACUUGUGUGAAAGACGGUAGAUCCUGUGAAAUUAUGUGAGUUUUCUAGCUCUCAACUGGCCACAUCCUGAAGAACCAUCCCAGAAAGAGGAAGGAGAAAGUAAAGAAUCAAAGAUCAAAUUACUAUCUGCUAACAGUUUUUACAGAAGACCGCCUUGAGGAGCUAGUGGCUGAUAGACUUGGGAAAGAAGUGGAGAAUCAUGAACAGGAGGGGCUUGUGCUGGUUCAUGCAGAAGAGCACAAGGUGUCAUCUGGAAGUCAAAUUGAAAACACCUUCCAGAACAAUGACUUAGGUUGUCAGAAGGGUGAAAAGUCUCAAAAUGCAAGUUUGCAAACAGCCUUUGAGGAGAAAUAGACAUCGGUAUCCAGAAAGAGAUGCUGUAAUGUGGGAAACUUCCAAGACAAUGUGAUCUCAGGGAGACCUUCACCAGGACAGAGUACUUAUGACUGUGCUGUGUGCAAGAGAUGUUUCAGCUGCAGCUCAAGCCUCUUCAAUCAUCUGUGUACCCAGACUGCAAAAACACUUCUCAGAUGCACGCAGUGUAAGUGAGUCUUCAACUUCAACUCUGCUCUGAUUCAGCACCAAAAGGUGCACCAGAGAGAGAAAAUAUCAUGAGAGUGUUCAGACUGUGGUGACCAUUUUACUUGCAGAUCUGGCGCUGCCCAUCAAAGGAUUCACAAAAGGGAGAAGAGGCCCUACAUGUGCUUACAAUGUAAUCAGUGUUUCUACCAGGCUUCUUAGCUGGUGACUCAUGUUCACAUGUGAAUGUGAUCCUUUGGGUCUCAAUAAACUGGAACCACAGGAAUAAGGAAGAAGCA
rnacentral:lncRNA from 1 species